AAAAUGUAAACGACUCUCGGCAACGGAUAUCUCGGCUCUCGCAUCGAUGAAGAACGUAGCGAAAUGCGAUACUUGGUGUGAAUUGCAGAAUCCCGUGAACCAUCGAGUCUUUGAACGCAAGUUGCGCCCGAAGCCUUGGCUGAGGGCACGCCUGCCUGGGU
rnacentral:rRNA from 1 species